rnacentral:rRNA from 1 species
CCUACGGGCGGCAGCAGUGGGGAAUAUUGCGCAAUGGGGGCAACCCUGAUCCAGCAACGCCGCGUGAGUGAAGAAGGCUUUCGGGUUGUAAACUUCUUUUCGCAGGGACGAAGAAAGCGACGGUACCUGAGGAAUAAGCCACGGCUAACUACGUGCCAGCAGCCGCGGUAAUACGUAGGGGGCAAGCGUUAUCCGGAUUUAGGGGGUGUAAAGGGAGUGUAGGCGGGAGCACAAGUCAGAUGUGAAAGCUCAGGGCUCAACCCUGGGACUGCAUUUGAAACUGUGUUUCUAGAGUGCUGGAGAGGCAAUCGGAAUUCCGUGUGUAGCGGUGAAAUGCGUAGAUAUAAGGAGGAACACCAGUGGCGAAGGCGGAUUGCUGGACAGUAACUGACGCUGAGGCGCGAAAGCGUGGGGAGCAAACAGGAUUAGAUACCCCAGUAGUC